CGAGUCUUCCUUGUCCGAAAGGUCCGGGUAAUCUUGUAAAUGUGUGUCGUGAUAGGGAUAGAUUAUUGCAAUUAUUAAUCUUGAACGAGGAAUUCCUAGUAAAUGCGAGUCAUCAGCUCGCGUUGAUUACGUCCCUGCCCUUUGUACACACCGCCCGUCGCACCUACCGAUUGAAUGAUUCGGUGAAACUUUCGGACCGUGGACAGGACGCUCUCGGGCGACUUGACCGUGGGAAGUUAUUUAAACCUCAUCAUUUAGAGGAAGGUGAAGUCGUAACAAGGUUUCCGUAGGUGAACCUGCGGAAGGAUCAUUACCA
rnacentral:rRNA from 1 species